rnacentral:rRNA from 1 species
UACGUAGGGUGCGAGCGUUGUCCGGAAUUAUUGGGCGUAAAGAGCUCGUAGGCGGCUUGUCGCGUCGGAUGUGAAAGCCCGGGGCUUAACUCCGGGUCUGCAUUCGAUACGGGCAGGCUAGAGUUCGGUAGGGGAGAUCGGAAUUCCUGGUGUAGCGGUGAAAUGCGCAGAUAUCAGGAGGAACACCGGUGGCGAAGGCGGAUCUCUGGGCCGAUACUGACGCUGAGGAGCGAAAGCUAGGGGAGCAAACGGG